rnacentral:rRNA from 1 species
AUUGAACGCUGGCGGAAUGCUUUACACAUGCAAUUCGAACGGCAGCACGGACUUCGGUCUGGUGGCGAGUGGCGAACGGGUGAGUAAUGUAUCGGAACGUGCCCAGUCGUGGGGGAUAACGUAGUGAAAAUUACGCUAAUACCGCAUACGAUCUAUGGAUGAAAGCGGGGGAUCGCAAGACCUCGCGCGAUUGGAGCGGCCGAUAUCAGGUUAGGUAGUUGGUGGGGUAAAGGCCCACCAAGCCAACGAUCUGUAGCUGGUCUUAGAGGACGACCAGCCACAGUGAAACUGAGACACGGGCCAGGCUACUACGGGAGGCAGCAGUGGGGAAUUUUGGACAAUGGGCGAAAGCCUGAUCCAGCCAUUCCGCGUGCAGGAUGAAGGCCCUCGGGUUGUAAACUGCUUUUGUACAGAACGAAAAGGUUUCUACUAAUACUAGGAGCUCAUGACGGUACUGUAAGAAUAAGCACCGGCUAACUACGUGCCAGCCGCCGCAGUAA